CUCUGCGCACGCGCGCAAGAGAGUGUUGCGGGCACAUGGGGGCGAAGACAGGAGUGAAGGAUCUCUGUCUGAAGCCGGGCCGAGAGGGGCCGGGGGCGGGGCCAGAGAGGGCGAGGCCGCGGGCGCGCACCCUGUGGCCGCCUGAUAGGGUGCGCGGCGGUACGAGCACGCCCCGCGAGAGGCGCUGCCUAGUGACUGCGCAGGCGCAGCACGGUGGCUAGUCCCUGCUUCCCUCUUGCAUUCCUGGGGUCUCCCAGCGAACUACUCCGGGUAACCUCUGCGUGGAGUUUGUUGGGAGUGGAGCGCUUGAGAAUCUUGGCGCAGCGACGGGCUUGGAAAAUACGUGCUUCUGACCUCAGUAUGCUCCAUCACUACAGCAUGCCUAGGAUGUGAUCUCAAAGUGGUUGAACCUGGUGAGCUGGUUCAGCUUGAAAAAGUAUUAAACUCUGGGACGUCUGGAAAGCAAGAAACAAGGAUUCAGAGAGAAUUUGAAGCCACAGUUUUACACACAACCCCACCGUCACCAGAAUGUUGGUGUAUUUGAUAUGUAAUUAAAAUGAGUCUUUGGGGAAGUUCCAGUCAUCAUGCUUCAGUCUCAAAUUCUUCAAAGACUUGUCUUGCCGAGUGUGGUCUCACACCUGUAAUCCCAGCUACUCAGGAGGCUGAGGCAGAAAAAUGGCAAGUUCCAGGCCGUUUAAUGAGACCCUGUCUCAAAAAAGGAGCUGGGGUGCAGCUUCUUAAUACAGCACCCCUGAGAUCAAUCUCCAGUGCAAAAAAAAAAAAAACUAUAGCAUGGGAGGCUGGUGGUGUAGCUAAGUGGCAGAGCUUGCACUUAACAUGUUCCAUCCUUAGAACAAAAAUAAAGACUUUUCUUACAUUCUUUUUCCUUCCCAAACACUCCUAAACUUCAUGACUUAAGAUGCUUGUCUUCUCUAAUAUAUAUCUCUCUUAGA